CAAUGUAACUCUACCACCGGUUCCAAA
rnacentral:sRNA from 1 species